rnacentral:rRNA from 1 species
AUUGAACGCUGGCGGCAGGCCUAACACAUGCAAGUCGAACGAGUGGCGCACGGGUGAGUUAUGUCUGGGACACUGCCUGAUGGAGGGGGAUAACCACUGGAAACGGUAGCUAAUCCCGCAUUCCAUCGGGUGCGCCCAGAUGGGUUUAGCGAGUGGGUGGGGUAAGGGCUCACCUAGGCGACGAUCCCUAGCUGGUUUGAGAGGAUGACAAGCCACACUGGGACUGAGACACGGCCCAGACUCCUACGGGAGGCAGCAGUGGGGAAUAUUGCACAAUGGGAGCAAGCCUGAUGCAGCCAUGCCGCGUGUGUGAAGAAGGCCUUCGGGUUGUAAAGCACUUUCAGCGGGGAGGCGUUACCCGCAGAAGAAGCACCGGCUAACUCCGUGCCAGCCGCCGCGGUAAUAC